AGGAAUAUUGGACAAUGGGCGAGAGCCUGAUCCAGCCAUGCCGCGUGCAGGAAGACGGCCCUAUGGGUUGUAAACUGCUUUUAUACAGGAAGAAACACUCCCUCGUGAGGGAGCUUGACGGUACUGUAGGAAUAAGGAUCGGCUAACUCCGUGCCAGCAGCCGCGGUAAUACGGAGGAUCCAAGCGUUAUCCGGAAUCAUUGGGUUUAAAGGGUCCGUAGGCGGGAUAAUAAGUCAGCGGUGAAAGUCUGUGGCUCAACCAUAGAAUUGCCAUUGAUACUGUUGUUCUUGAGUGUUUAUGAAGUGGUUAGAAUAUGUAGUGUAGCGGUGAAAUGCUUAGAUAUUACAUGGAAUACCGAUUGCGAAGGCAGAUCACUAAUAAAAUACUGACGCUGAUGGACGAAAGCGUAGGUAGCGAAC
rnacentral:rRNA from 1 species